rnacentral:hammerhead_ribozyme from 1 species
AUCCGAUUGACGAGUCCCAAAUAGGACGAAACGCGCCUUUUGGAU